GUAGAUCAGAGGCAAAAAUUUCCUCUUGUGUCCUUAUUUUUGUUUCCUCUGUUGUUCUUGGAUUUCCCUAGAGAUUUCUUCUAAAUAAGGCCUGAGAUAUUCAGAUUACAGCUGUAAUUCCCUGUUGUUAUACAGAAGCCCUGUUGAUGCAGUGGUAAGGUGUGGAAAAGAAGUUUUCUAUAGUCCUAGGAUUAGUUCUCAGUCUUUUAGAGAGCCUGUGCCCCUGGGCUGUCAUCUUCACAUAUGCUUCUCAGUUGCCCUCCCUCUCCCAGUGAAAUCCGAGGCUAGUAGAAGCUAAAUUCAGGUGUUUCCCUUCCUCUAGAUUGGUUAGACUCUGGUAAAAUAAUUUGCCUUGAAGGCAGGCCUUGUUAAAAAGAACAGAAUGUUCUGGACAUAUUUAAAAAUGGCUACUUUCUCCCUCCCUGUGUCAGAAGCAUGAAGAGAUUUUCUUCCUACACUCACGAUGAGAACCUGGUGGAGCUCCUAAAGGAACAGGAGAGCCCAGGCUCCUCCCCGCUGCAAUGGGCUAGAACUUCCUGUGGCUCCACCCCAUCCUCCCAGUGCGCAUGCUUGUCGGAGAUUCUCAGGCGACCUUCCCUCUUAUCUUCCUCUUGCAUUUAUCAGAAGUGCUGAACCCUUGACGUGCCUUAUCUUAUUUGCUCCUCACAACAAAUCUUAUGAGAUGCAUCACUACCAGAAGUUGUCCAGAAAGAACUGUGACCGUAUGUUUUAAUUAAAUAAUUUUUCAUCCAGUUUUUUUCUUUGCAUAUAAAGAAACAGAAUCCUGACAUCUGAUUGAAUUAUUGGCUCUCCUGAUGGUUGCACGAUGGCUGCAGCAGUUCCAGAUGUCCCAUCGAGACACAAAAAGAUCCCAGAUGGAAGAUGCCAUCUCCUCCUAUGUGCCUCUUUUUAAGAGUUACACAGGAGUGAGGAGGACCACCAAACCAAACUAAGACUCGGAGGAAAAAAAAAAAAGAAAAAGAAGAAAAUGUCUGCUAGGUGCCAUGCCACUCAAACAGCCAAUGGAAAGGCCCACGUGGCGAGAGCUAAGGCUUCCUGCCAACAGGCAAGUGAGGAAGCCCAGUCAGCUGCCUGCAGUCCUGACCCAUGAAGAGCCUGACUGAAAGUGAAUGAGCAACCCUGAGCUAGGACAACCCAGCAAGGCCCAUCCUGAAUUCCUGCCCACAAAAACUCUGAGACAGUAAAUGUUCGUUGUUUUAAACCACAAAGUUUUGAAGUAAUAGAUUAAUUAGGUAACCAAUUGGGACUGCAGUAUUCCUUCAGGGAACUUGAAUAGUCAUUCUGUAUAUGGAAAUUGUACACAUCUUAAAAUUGCUGGACUAAAGUGAGAAGAGACUGUCUUGAGUCAACUGGAUAAAGUGGAAAAAAAAUUAAUUUGGAAAUCAAUAGAAUUCUGGCCUUGGCUUUGUCACUAAGAAACACUUAUAAGUAAUUUCACUUCUCUUGAAAUUAUGAUCAUUAUCUAUAACAUAAAGGAACUGAGCUAAAUGUUAUCUGAUGCCUCUUUAGGCUCUCAAACUCCAUAGAUUUAUGACAUGCUUGAAAUUCACUUUGUUUCACCCUAAUUCAGAGCUUUGUUUCACUAGCUCUAGAAUUAGAUGCCUUGGGUUUAAAUUGCAAUUCAGUCACUUAUUUAAAUAAUUGUACUUGGAUGAGUGAUGUUGCCAUUUUAAGCCUCAGUUUCCCCAUAGAUUCAUUGAGAAGAUCAAAUAAGAUGAUGCAGAUAAAGCUCUUAGUUUGUGGGGACACUUAGUAAGUGCUUAAUAAAUACAGGCAGUUGUGUUAUCUAUGUUGUAGCAGCACAUUUUGUAAAAUAAAACAAAGUUGAAAUCACAGAUCUAUAUUUUUAUGUACUCUGUUGACAGUUUAGAGCUUAUUUGGCUUUUAACAUUUUUAUUAUUGUUUUGUUUAUUUAUCAUUAUUAUUAUUUUUUGAGACGGAGUCUUGCUCUGUCGCCUAGGCUGGAGUACAGUGGCGUGGUCUCUGCUCACUGCAACCCCCGCCUUCUGAGUUCAAGCUAUUCUCCUGCUUCAGCCUCUCCAGUAGCUGGGAUUACAGGCACGCGCCACCAGGCCCGGAUAAUUUUUGUAUUUUUAGUAGAGACAGGGUUUCACCAUGUUGGCCAGUCUGGUCUCGAACUCCUGACCUUGUGAUCUGCCCGCCUCAGCCUCCCAAAGUGCUGGGAUUAUAAGCAUGAGCCACUCCACCUGGCCUAUUAUCAUUUUUUGAGAUGGGGGCCUCUCUCCGUUGCUCAGGCUGAAGGACAGUAGCAUGAUCAUUGUUCACUGUAACCUUGAACUCAUGGGCUCAAAUAGUCCUCCCAACUCAGCCUCUUGAGUAGCUGGGACUACAGGUGCACAACACCAUGCCUAUCUUAACCUUUUAGAUUUUUUUUAUAGAGAUGGGGUCUUACAGUAUUGCUCAGGGUGGUCUUAAACUCCUGGCCUCAAGUGAUCCUUCCGCCUCAGCCUCCCAAAGUGCUGGGGUUAUAGGCAUGAGCCACCAUGCCCUGUUCGCUUUUAUAUAAUCAGUAUGUAAAGUGCAUUUUAUAGGGACUUGAAGCACACUUUUAUAAUUUUAAAAAUUGUAGAAAUUCAUAUGUGAAGUUUUGCCUUAUAAUGUAUUGUUGGUCAUACCCUGGAUCAGGAAGCCAACCCCAAAUUACAAUCUCAUUCCUACAAGAAGGUACAGUCUGCUGUAUGAAGAUCUAUUUUUACAUGUGUUUCUAGGAAUGCUUUGCAGCGGAGUUAGGUGGCCUAGACUUUCUUGAUUCUCCUGCAGAGCACAGCCUGCUGUAAAUACUCCAUUUUAUUUGCUUAAGCUUGGUUUGUUUUUGUUUUUGCCUUUUUUUAGUGUAAGAUAAAUAGAAAUCUAAGUCAGUUUCUGAUUGUGCCUAAUGGUCUGUUCUUUAAAAAUUGAGAUCAUUGUCCAACAGACACUCAGAUCUGGUUCGGCCGGUUUGGAAGUCUUUCUCUUCAGGUCUCUCUAACUCUUAGCAGUCCUCUGACAGGUUGCUGCCUUCCUCAUUUACAUCCAUAAUGCUAAGUUCCCUUUGGUCCAGGUCAGUAUUCUGGGAUGUUUCCAGAAUCAAUAUCUGAUGUUUCUAUUUGCUCUGGCACCUGCCAGUUUACUUGGGUAGGCCUCCAGUGUGGAACAGAACUAGAAUAUUGUGAGUUAUCCAUUUUUCUGCUGUACAGCCAGGGUCACCUGAGGCUGUAGACUGACUCUCCAGCUGGAAAAACAGAGUAUUCUGGACAAAUUCUUUGCCAAUGGCCAUGUGGUAGGCCUGGCGAUUGAGAGUCAAAAGAGUCCAAUUUCCUGUGCUCUCAGGUUUUGAAUUUUUAAAUAAAGCAUUGUUUUGUGUGCUAAAAUUUUAAAAUAUAAAGUAAGUUUUGUUGUUUCUUUUUUCUGUGAUUUUUUGCUGCCAUCUAUUCCCUUAUAGCCACAAAGCAGCUAUUCGGAAGCCUAUUGUUCUC
rnacentral:lncRNA from 10 species